UUCUGAAGUGAACUAAUCCUUUAAAGCGAAUGGACAAAACAUGCUGUUCUGAGCUCCAACAUUAGGGGGCAACAUAACCUCACAAGCUAUGCUUUAUUCACAUUAGACAACCACGUGAUGUCUAAAUAAAACACUGCUCACCAUUUGAUUUAAAGCACAGAGCAUGUCCAUGUUUCACUAACCACACCCACAUUAUUAAUACACAACAGAACUUCACUCUUCACAUUCAUUCAUGCAUCAGCGACACUUCAAUUGUUUUAAAAAAACACACUGAGCAUAACUUAUAAAUCAAAAAUCAAUAAAACAACAAGGAAAAUCUAACAAAUCAAUUUAAUAGUAAACAAACACUCUGAUCUUUAAAGUGGACUUCAGUUAAGAUGGAGGAGAAGCAAAUGCUGCUCAUGAUGCUCAUCACAGUUUCAGGUGGAUUUGCAGAUAAAAUUGGACCAAAAGAUGGAAAUACUAAUGUAAUCAAAGAAGAAGGAGAGUCUGUGUCACUAAGCUGCACAUAUGAAACUAACAACAAUAAUAUUUAUCUUUACUGGUACAGACAGUAUCCAAACAGAGAACCAGAAUAUUUACUGUAUAAAGGUGCUCGAUCACGGAGCAGUGAAGAUAUACCAGAUGGUUUUCAGUCGUCUACAUCUCAAUCAUCCACUGAACUCAUUAUUAACAGUGUGACUCUGUCAGAUUCAGCUCUCUAUUAUUGUGCUCUGUGGAGCCCAGUGAUACAAAGUGCCUGAGAAGCUUUACAAAAACUCAUACAAAAUUAAUGCUUUGAAGUGUCUUUAAUCAAUCUGUAUCAUGUUACUGUA